UCAACUGUAGCACCAGAGAUUAAUGCUCAAGUACGAGAUGAGGCUAUGAAGGUGGCAGGUGAGUGGAAGAAGAAGAUGAGAGUAGCAGUGGAGAAUUCUCUGGAGGUGCUGGGAUUCUUGCAUCUUUUAGCUGCCUAUAGAUUGGCACCUGCUUUUGAUGGUGAAGAACUUGAAAGUCUUCUUCGUAUUGUUGCUCAGCAUAGACAGACUCCUAAAUUACGCCAAACCCUUGGAUUUGCGGAUAAAGAACCCGGUAGGCUCUUUGUUACUGGGAUGUAAAUUUAUCAGGUGCUAUCUGUGCUCUCAAUUACAUAAUAAAACUGAUUUUAUAUGUUAUGAGAGUCCUAUUUGCAUUUUGUUGGAUAUGUUGUAUAUUACUAUAGUUGAUUUCGGUAUAAAUCGUUUGUAAGAACUUGUGGAUGCAAUUCCAUUUUGCUGCUAUGCCCUCUAGUAAGUUUUUCUAAUUUUGAAGUUCAUAAAUUCUGCAUACUUUCUAAAGUCUUUACUAGGCUAUAGGAUUUAUAUAUUUUGAAUUAGAAAGGCUGUGUAAUCAGAACAAUUUUUCCGUCAACUAUGCACUUGAUUCUCUGUCUGCAGGUCUCCAGUGCAGCACCACAGCAGAAGGAAGGAGUGCACCGUCAAUGCUUGUUGGCACCUCUGCCCCCACGAAUCAGCCAGACUCUAGCCUAAUGAAUCUACCACAGUACAGCGGAAUGGAUCCCAGUAAUAGUACUUCCUCCCCAGUAUCACAGUUUAGUGGAGCGCAACCACAGCUUGAGAAUCAGUAUAAACGUCUUCGGGUAGAAUCACUGUCUACCAUAGACUAUACACCACAUGCACUAGCUUCUGAUAACCUGAAUAGGAGUUCUCUGGCUACACAGCAUGGACCAGGUGUGGAUCGCAUUGGAGGGCAAACACAGUUUGGUCUUUUAGCAGGUAAUCACUCAAGAGUCACAGCAAAUAUUGCUACCAAAUGCUGCAGGAAUGCAAAACCUUGUCAUUUUCAGCAUAUGCACUACUUGAUGAAGUGAUGGUUACUCUCUGUACACAGUAGAUGCUAAUUAACAUGGGCUUGUAAAUAUAGUAAGCCUAGGAUUUUUAUCUUUCCAUCAACGUGAGUCCAAUUUCACAUGAUUUCAGAGCUCAGUAAAAACUAAAAUUUUAUCCUUUUUUAUUUCAUUUCGCAAACAGAGCUGAUGGUGAAUCAUCAAAUAGCAAGCAGGAGAAUGAUCGGAGUUUUCUCCUAUUGAGUUGUUUCUUUAAUAAACACACUAAACAUGUGCUAUAUACUGUGAAGGGAAUGUGGGGAUAAAGCAGUACAGAGGAGUGAGGCAAAGGCACUGGGGCAAAUGGGUAGCUGAGAUUCGUGAUCCAACGAAGGCUCGUGUAUGGCUAGGAACUUUUGACACAGCUGAAGCAGCAGCACUUGCUUACGAUGAAGCAGCUCUUAGGUUCUACGGAUGCAAUGCCAAGCUUAACUUCCCAGAAAGGGUUCAAGCUAAUCUCACAACUCACCGUCAUUAAGAUCUUUUUUAUCAUGCUGCGGCCGCUACAACUUCACAGCAAGUUUCUAAUCCUCAUCUCUGCCACUAACUCAAGAAGUAAUGUAUCUGAAUCUUCUUCAGUAUCAGCAACCAAACUAUGGCAUCCCAUCUGGUUUGUACGGCGAGUAUAGGUAUCCACCGGUGACCUUACCGACCACUUCUUCAUCUUCAUCUUCGUCUUCGUCUUCUGUGACGUCAUCUCAGCAACCACAACAGCAUGAGUUCUUAAGAUAUCCCACGCUGCUUGGAAGCUCUUCAUCAUCAGCUUCUGAUCCUCAUAAAGAGUAGAAGGCAAAAUUUUGAUACAAGUCACCCAAGAGAUUAGAAAUAUAAAUAUCGUUUGCUAUGCUUUACUAAACUUAUGUUUUGCUUUUUAGUUAUUUGCUUAUAGUUUUUCUUUAAGUUUUUGGAGACCAAGAGUGUGCGGUUAUAUAUUCUAAUGACAUUUCUUCGUACUUGAAAGAAAUUAAAAAAAAAGGGAGAAUGAUCCUUUCCUGGUGCAUCCAUCAGGUAGUCCAACAAUUGUUUUGGUUUCUCCUGUACUCACUGGUAAUAAUUGUGGUUUGUGGGUAAGAGUGAUGACGAUGGCUUUGUGAGUGAGGAACAAGCUAGGUUUUGUUGAUGGGACCAUUACAAAACCGGAUGAUGAUGAUGGCGGAUGAUGAUGAUGGUGGUAAAUGGCAAUGUUGCAACGAUCUGGUUUGUUCUUGGGAGUUGAAUUCCAUCUCAAGCAAGACUCGCAUGUAGUGUCUUGUAUGCACAGUCAGCAAGAGAGUUAUGGCUGGAUUUGCAGGAAUGGUUUCAGCAGACUAACGCCGGGAAAGAACAACAGGAUCUUAUUGUUGCUCAAUAGCAGUAUCAAAAUGUCCUAGCCACAUUGUACUUAGGUAAUUUACAAUUUGCGAGUUUUGUAGGUGUAGCCCUUCGUUGUUGUUAUUAUUAUUAUUAUUAGUAUUAUUAUUUUCCAUGCAGAUGUUACUGAUCAUAUAUGUUGUUUGUUAGAUUUCUUUCAUUCCUAAGAACCAUGUGUUGGGAAAAUAUACUCUUUAAAAGUAUAUGUGUUUAUUUAAUUGUAAUAAAUAAUUUUUUUGAUAAAUAAAAUAAAUGAGGUAUUUUAUUCAAGUAUCUUAAUUGUAUUAAUAUUUUGAAUAAAAUUCAUUUAAUUAUAUUAUAUGUAUUUAUGUGAUCACCAUAUGGAUUUACAGAAGACAUAAAUACAAGUUAUCUUAUGAUUAAAUAAAUUAAGUUCGCAGUUGAUAAAUAAAGUUGGGCAUUUUAUUUAGGUAUAGACUGUAAUAAAUUUAUUGAAUGAUUUGUCUUAAUCAUGUAUGAAUUUAUUGAGUAUGAAUUUAUUGAUGUAGUGCGACUACAUUAAACAUGAUCACAUAUAAGAUUUAAUUAACUUUGUAAUAACUGUCAAGCUUAUUAAAUCUCAUAGGCAUUUAUUUUACUAUAAUCUUAAUCUUGAGUUAGUUAUAAUUUCAUGAUUGUAAUUGUUAUUCCACUUGAAUUACAAAUGGGCACGACACACACUUGUAGUCAAGAUUACCCGGUAUCUUGGUGGGAGCAAUUAUGAGUAUUAGAGUUAUAGAUUAACAAUAUAGAAUUUGUACAACACAUCUCUUGAUGGGUUUUCGGCACUUAAUCAUAGAAUUAUCUAGUCAGAGUGUGUCAACAUAUUUAGUAUGUUGAAAAUGAUCAUUAGAGAAAACCAGUAAGUAUCAAGGAACAAGAUGUAAUUAAAUCGAUUGAACAGUUGAGAUAUCAAUUUAAUUAACGAUGUGGUACAAAAGAUUAUGCAGUAAAGAAAUCAAUGUGGCUUGGGAUGAAUUAUUAUUCGAGCAUACAAUUAUGGAGGUCAGUUCCAAUCUUUUAGUGAAGUGGAUUUGGAAUUAAAUAAUUGGGCUAGUUUAAUUACAUGCCUAAUUAUUGUAACCACUAUUGUAUGUUCCCAAAUGAUCUCCGGGUUAGCUCAUUUAAUUGACUGCACCACUACUAGAUUAAUAAGCAAGAUAACUAAUUAUUUGGGUCAAAAGCCUAAAUAUAUCAUUUAGUGGGAGGAUCUAUUAUAUAUGCUUGUGUGUAAGGGGUCUUAUAUUAUUUUACAAGGUGGGCCCCCUAUAGAAAAAGCAAGUAAAGUGACUUUUGAUUUUUAUUAUUUGGAGCCUAGGGUUUUCACUAAAGGAAGAUAUAAAAAGACUUAUUUUUUCUAAAGAAAAAAUAGGAGCCGCAUUAUACAGUUCAGAGAAAAAGAAUUUUUCUUUCUAAUUUUGAGAGAAAAGUUUUUCUCUUGCUAGUUGUUUUUAGUGGUGAUAAAGGCGCCCACACGUCAAGUGCAUAUUAAACAUGAGUCAUAACUUGGAAGAUUAUUUGGUGGCGGAUUGUGAUCUAACAUGAGUGGUGGUGACGAAUCGUGAUCUAACAGGAAUGGUGGUGAUAGAUCGUGAUCUGGGAGCCUAAAUCACUUCAGUGGAAAAAGCAAAGAUUGUUCGUCUUCUUAGAUUUUCAAGAUACGAUUUCUAAAUUAUGAAUUCUUAUAUAUUGUAUGAGAUUGAUCCUAAUAAGUUUUUAUUUAGAAAAAAUUUAAAAACUAAUUUUUCUCCAACACCAUGUUCUGUACUUCUUCGUGGUCAAUGGCCUGAUACUAUUGUAUCUCUUGUCACUCGUAUGGAAACGACCUCUUUUUUUCAAGAAUUUCUACUGAAAAAAGUCUUUAUCAUUCCGAGUUUUAAAUUCAAUUUACUGUCAGUUAGCCAAUUAACCAAACCAAACAAACAUCAAAUAAUCUUUUCUUUUGAUUACUGUUAAUCUUUGGACCUAUACAUGAAGGUUGGCAAUGGUAGGCAUCAUGUUCCUGCGGCAUCCUUUUUUCAUUCCCAAAUAACUUCAAUGUGGAUUUCAUCUUUGGCGUUGUUGCAGACUUGGGUUGGGCACCCUUCUCUUGUACGUUUAAAAUUGUUUUCAAAGACUUAUCCUAUGGUUAAUUUGGGAUGUUUGUCUUAAAUUAAAACAAACUAGAACGUCUAUUUUUUAUUAGAAGUAUUAAAACUGCUUUUGAAUUAAUCCAUUGUGAAGUUUGGGGUUCGUUUUCUACCGUAUAAGUUCUUUAGUUACGUUUUUUUUUAAUAAUUGUUGGUGAUUUUACUUGCCGCACUAAACGCCCGUUUAGAAUUGCUUUUGAUAGCCUUAACAGUAAUUUCGAAAAGUUAAAAGUCAAAUUUGGUGUUUGGUAAUUUUUUUUAGAAAUUACUUUUAGCAAAAUCACAUUAUCCUACAACAGAUUUGAAAAAAGAAAGAAAGAAUAUCUCUUCAAAAUCUGAUUUUAAAAAUUAUUUUUAUAUUUAAUCCAAUUCUAUAUAUAUGCUCAUAUAUAUAUUAUAAAAAUUCAAAAUUAUCAUUAUUAAGUAGGAAAAAAAUCAUUAAAAUUAUUAUUAUUAUUAUUAUUAUCAAUUAUAUUGAUAUAACAAAAAAAAUGAAAUUAAUAAUAUAAAAUAUUUAUUUUAGUUAUCACAUGUUACACAUACACAAUUAGAAAUAUUUUAUAUUCAUGUUUAUUAAUAUGUAAAUAAAUUUUAUUCAAUAUUAUAUACAAUUAAGUCAUUUAUAUUCUUAUAACAGUUUAAUAAUAAAAUUUACCAAACACAUACGACUGCUUUUAAAAUUCACAACAAUUUUAAAAAUAAAUUUUACCAAACGUUUAACUAAUUCUCUUCACAGCUGAUUAUAUCUAAAGCACAACUAAUAACAAUUUGAAAUGCUAGUUAUGCAACCCAAGAGGCAGGGUGAAUUGAGUUUUUAAAAUUUAAGCUAAACAAACCACACAACAAUUCAAUCUAUUACCUUAAUAAUAAAAAAAUAAUAAAUUUAAUAGAGCACAAUAAUAAAAGAGUAAUGGAAGAGAGAGCAAAUACAAUGAUUUUUAAGUGAUUCAGCCAAUAGUGCCUACGUCCACGCCUCCAAGCUCACCGGACUUGAGGGUUUCACUAAGCAAGCAUCCAAGGCUUUAACCACUCUCACAAUUGACUUAUAAGGUGUUAAUAAACCUUUACAACAAGAGAUUAUUCUCAAUCUCUUAACCCCAAUAUAUCCCAACACUACAAUCACUCAAAGAUAAAGAUUACAAAUGAAAUUUUCUUUGACACAAUGUGUUUGAUUACAAAUGAUAGCUCAAAUGUGUGAAUGAAAUGAAAUAAAAUCAAGUUUGAAGCUCAAUAAUAGUUGUGUACUCGAUAGCAAGAUCAAAUGAUAAUCGUUGGAUUACUUUUUGUUUGAAUUUGAUUGAGCCAUUUUAUAGAUGGAGUUGAAAAUUAGCCGUUGUUGACUUUCUACAUGCAAUCAGAUCACCGUUUAGCAUUUAUUGGAUCGUCGUUUUGACUUGAACAAGUGACCGUUGUGCCAAAAUUCAAAUUUUUGGAUCACCAUUAUCAAGAUAUCGGAUUACCGUUAUCGCUUUCGAAUCUUGUCCAAAGAUAUCGGUUAUCCGUUUGACAUAAACGGUUUACCGUUUGCAAGAUGAUUACUCUCUGGAAUCUUGUCGGUUUACCGUUAACGAUAAAUGGUUUACCAUUAUCUGAAAUUUGCUCUCUGAAAUGCAACCAGUUCACCAUUAUUCCUAAACGGUUUGCCAUUAUCUGAAAUUUGCUCUCUGGAAUACAAUCGGUUCACCGUUAUCCCUAAACGGCUUGCCGAUAUCUUGAAACUUACUCUCUGGAAUGCAAUCGUUUUGCUAUUUUCUAAUAAAUGGUUCACCGUUUUCUUAGAAAAUUAUAUAGCUUACAGAUUCCGAUUAACAAAUUUUUAGACUUAUCAAUUUAAAACUUAUUUGUUAUCAUCAAAAUCAUUAUUAUGAAUACAAAUAAGUUAACAAUCUCCCUAUUGUUUAUGAUGACAAACAUUACAAGAUUAUGCAAUUUUGCUCCCCCUUAGUAAGUGGCCAAUCAAUUUUGUAUUCAACAUGUUUUUAUCAAAACAACAAAGAUAUAUCUCCCCCUUCAUCGUCAAAAAGAAAAAGAAAUGAAAUUUUUUUGGUAGAAUCUCUCCCCAUAAAAAUAAACAUAUCCUUAAACACAGAAAAUUUUCAAAACACUUCCAAAUUUUCACAAACCAAUUCAACUUUAACAACUAACUAAAAUUUUCUCAACUCUAACAAUCCAACAACACAAAACCAUGUAUAAAACCAACAUGCAUAUAACCACAAUCAUCAAGUGAAAUUAGAGAAUACUCCACAAUCCAAAUAUCAUCCAAAAUAUAAAGAUAAUAUCAUCUAAAAUAUGAGAUGAGCAAUGUAUGUGCGAAACAAGGGAAAACAUAAAGACAUAGAAAGAUAAACUACAGAGGUGGUUGCGAUGAAGACUCAACAGGAGAGAAACCAAGGGCAGUGAGGAUGCAUCUCUGACCAUCACAAAGCUCUUGUUGCUAAUCUAAGAUGAACUAUUGAAAAAAUUCAAAAUGAGAUGCAAGUUGCUGCUGUUAUACUAAGAGAGUGCGAACCUCGCUAAGAAGCUGCUGCAUCAAGUCCUCAGAAGCUAAAGAAGUUGUAGGAGCUGGAGGCACAUCGAUAUCCAUAUCAUGGUCCUCCUGCUCCUUUGGCUCCUGUUGGGUAUAAAUUCAAAUGUUAUUGGUGUCAAUGUGCAAGUGUACACAACAAGUAAUAAAGUUAUGAGUAUUCAAAAUCGUCUCCAUAGGGAUUGAUGUUAUCAGAUUUGCUACAGCAACGGCUACAACAACUGCACUGUUCCAGAUUUGUUUUAAUUCUUUUGCAACUAAGUUCUUUUCCAUCUUUUGCAAGCCUAUUGCAUCAGCAUUCCUUCCUUAAAAUUUGAGCUUCCAGACACCUACAAUUAUGCACACAAUCUAAGCACGAAUUAUUCUAAAUCAAACAAAAUUUAUUAAGAGUAAACUAAAAUGAAUGUUUAUGCAAAAUAUAAGCCUAUUGCAAAACAUAGCAUUUACUUUUUAAGUAAUAUUGAUUUAAAUCUAAAAGUACUAUGAUAACUCUCAUUUCAUAGAGUUAUCACACCCUCAACCUUAAACUAUUACUUAUCCUCAAGUAAUGACAACAACGCUAACACUUCAAUCACACAAUCAUCCAACAAAUAACUUAGCUUUGUCAUCAAAUUUGUAAGAAUUCUUCCACCCUCAGAUCACACUCUUAAUCACGCAAAAUAGCCUUAGCAGCUUAGUUCCAGACUUAGGCUUCAUUCUGCCCAAAGUGUGUGCGUACCACUUUGAUCAAAUUCCAGAGGUGAUACAACAUUACACAGACAUAUAUAAUUCAAAGGUAGAACACACAUAUAUUCACAUGUGGGGGAGCAGAAUUCACAAAUAAACUCAAACUGUGCUACAACAAACAUAAUUAUUAUUUUUCAGUUAAACCCUUCAAUGCAACAUUGAGCUUUCAUGUGAAUGUCUAUACCUUGUAAUGACGACACCCAAUUACUCACUUAAAAUAUAUGUUAGAGUUGCUGCAGCAACACAUCCAGGAUGUUAUAUCUAGGUCUUACCUUUAGACGCCUUUGACUCAAGGCUCAACAUGAGGCUCAUGGACAGAACAUGUUACUUAGUAUCAUAGGCAGCGAACCUUUUUAUUUUCAUUCCUUCAUCACCAUUUUUUUUUGCUUGCAUUUUUUUUGCUUUCUUUUUUUUAUAUAUAUAAUUGCUGCAACACUGCUCAUAGCUCUUGUUACCUUUGGACUCAAGUUUGCAUAUGGGGUGCAUACCCAACCCUGGUUACUCAGCAACUUAAAUCAUUAGGGCAUAAUUUAUUUCAUAACAGGUACAAUCCAACAAAAAAUUUUCCCCAAACUUAAGAUAUUUUCUACUCUUUUUUUGGUUUUCCUGGCUCUGCUACAACAUUCUCAUAAAACUCAACCAAAGUCUAAGUGUUGGGACAAAAUUUCAACCUUCAUCUAUAACUAUCUCUACUUGACAUUCUCAUAAAUACUGAAUAACACUCAAUUUAUCUUCAUUAGGUUUUCAAAUCCAUACACAAAUAUUAGAUAACAGAGCUUCACACAACACACAACACAAGCAUAAACACAUGCACUCAGAAACACAACCCCCCAAACUUGAGUGGUGUUGUGUCCUCACAAGCACACAAAACAAAACCACAUAAACCAGACAUGCAUACACUAAAUUAAAAGACAUGCUGAAUGAAUUAGAAAAUUAAAACUAAAUGAAAGAAAAGUUUUGCAGAAAGAUGUAAUAUAAACUAGCGAGUAGGGGGUACUCCCCUAUUGUUGGAAGCAUUGUGGCAGCACAGGCCGUAAAGGGUCACUUCUUCUUCAAUCCACUUCUCAAACGCUCCUUAUCAUAAAAUCUUAUCAAUUCAUUGUUCAUACAAAAGCAAGAAAUGCCUCUGUUGUUUGAGAAUCUUCUGUUAUAUGUCAUGCUAUAAGUGAUGCUACAGCAAUUCCCUCAUGCUAUUUUUUUUCACAUUUUUUUGUUUUUUUGUUUUUUUUUUACUUGCUGCAAUUUAACACAAAGACAAAAAAUUAGAUGCACACUUAAAAUAACAAAAAGACAAAUUAAAUAAUUUAAAAGCUAAAUUCAAUGUCUUAAAAACUUGAAACAACUUCCCUUAUUGGGUUGCCUCCCAAUUAGCGCUUGAUUUUAAGUCUUUCAGUCUGACAUUUCUUGUUUGCUCAACCUGGAUCCUUCAAGAACUGAUCCUUCUGUAGACUGUUCACCUUAGCUCUCAUGUAGUGCUCUACUUUCGGCCCAUUAACCUUGAAUUCGUGUUGGUCUGGAGUGAGUUCCUUUUGUUGGAUUUGCUCGUCAAUUCUGAAGGGUUACUUCUCUCCUGACCAUGCUAUGUUAACUGCUCCACGAUCUUCACCAUCAAGUUCUUCAAAUGUUACAGUAUUGAUUUCUUCCUUAUUACAGCAACUGUGUAAUCUCUCUGCUAUAACAAAGUCCACAACACUAAUAAAAUUACAAUCUUCAAUCUCAUCGGGACUCUUCAUGACAUCCAUCACAUUGAAUGUAACUUGCUGGUCAUUCACCCUUAUGGUUAAUUCUCCUUUUUGAACAUCAAUUAAAGUAUUUCCUGUGGCUAAGAAAGGUUUCCGUAGAAUGAUUGGCACUUCUUUGUCUGCCUCAAAGUCAAGCACAAUGAAAUUCACCGGAAAAAUAAAUUUAUCUACCUUCACCAACACAUCUUCAAUCUUCCCUUCUGGAUAUGCAUGAGAUCUGUUAGCAAGUUGUAAAGUCACUGUUGUUAGUCUACAUUCACUAACUCCCAAUUGCUUAAACACUGAUAAAGGCAUGAGAUUGAUGCUAGCCCCCAAAUCACAAAGUGUUUUGCCACUGUAUUUAGUGCUUAUGGAGCAUGAGAUUGUAAGGCUUUCUUUAUCCUUCAUCUUCUGUGGUAUCUUACUUUGAAGCAUUCAGUUGCACUCUUAUGUUAUAGCAACUAUUUCAAACUCUCCAAGUCUUCUUUUCUUUGUCAAAAUAUCCUUUAAAAAUUUCGCAUAAUUUGGCAUUUGCUCUAGAGCUUCCACAAAAAGGAUAUUGAUAUGUAGCUGUUUCAGCACUCCUAAGAUUUUGCUUAAUUGUUUAUCUUAUUUUUGCUUCUGAAACCUUUGAGGAAAGGGUGGUGGAUGUCUAAACUGUUGUGUUGUAGCAGUUUGUGCAGACUGUGCUGGAUCAUAACUUUCUGCAGAUGUUGUAGCAGAACUGUAUUGAUUUGCAUUUUAAAAAGUGGAAGAUUGUGACUCAUUCUCUACUUGAGUGUCUUCUUGCCCUUGGUUGGACUCAAUUUUUCUUUUUAGUACACCAACUGAACUAUCAACCUCUUUUCCAGAUCUCAAGUUUAUCACUUUGCAGUGUUAUUUCCCUUCUCUUCUUGAGUUCUCUAUGUUGCUGGGUAAACUACCUUGAGGUUUGUUACUUACUGCUGUAGUAAGUUGUCCAAUUUGAUUUUCUAAGUUUCUCAAAGAUGCAGUAUGACUUUGGACAACCGCUUCAUUCUUCACAAUAUAAUCCUUAAUCGAAGCUUCAAGGGAGCUAAGUUGAUAAUUGUUUACUCUUGAUUUUGCCGAUAAAAUCCAGGUGAUUGAGCAGGUUUGUUCUGUCCACUAGGUGCUGUAGCAGUCUGGUUCUGAUAACUCCAUGAAAAAUUUGGAUGCUGUCUCCAUCCAGGGUUGUAAGUGUUUGAAUAUAGAUUGCUCUAGUUCUGUCUGUUGAAGCUGCCCAUAUAGUUAACCGAAGCUGGAUUACCAGGACAAUUGUCAAAUAAAUGCCCUUCUCCACAAUAAACGCAAGACACAUCAGAAAUUUGGUUAUCAGUUGCAGGGGCAGUAGUCAUAGCCUUUACCAUAUUUGUUAAUGAAGUUACUUGUGCUGACAAUGCUACCAAGGCAUCUACAUUAUAAACUCAUGUUGUUUCUUUUGUUGCAGCUUGUCUAGUUGAUGGCCAUUGAUAGUUAUUAUUUGUUAUUCUCUCCAAAAUUUCAUAAGCCUCAUUGUAAGACUUAGAUAAUAAGGCCCCAUUUGUUGUAGCAUCCACUAUCAAUCUAGUGCUUGGGUUGAGACCAUUAUAGAAAGUUUACAACUGUAUGAAGUAAGGAAUACCAUGAUGAAGACAUCUCCUGAGUAACUCCUUAAAUCUCUAUCAUGCAUCACACAAGCUCUCAUCUUCAAGUUAAUGGAAAGAUGUGAUCUCGUUCCUCAACUUUGCAUUCUUGGUUGGCGGGAAGUAUUUCAUUAAAAAUUUGUUAGUCAAAUUAUUCCAUGUAGUGAUAGAAUCUGGUGGUAGAGAAUUCAAUCAUGCUUUUGCUCGGUCUCUCAUAGAAAACGGGAAAAGUCUGAGUCUCAAUGUUUCCUGUGAUACUCUAGCAAUCUUGAAAGCAUCACUCACUUUAAAAAAUAACUUAAAGCGUAGAUGAGGAUCGUCGAAUGGCAAACCAUUAAAUUGCCCCACUGAUUGAAGCAUCUGAAACAUCACGGGUUUGAGUUCAAAAUUGUCAAUUUGAAUGUCGGGUCUAACUAUUCCUGGAUGUAUGGCUUGAGGAGUCAACACUCCGUAGUCUCGAAUGACUCUAUCUCUAUCGUUUGCCAUGUAAAUAAUAUUGUUGUGGCCUGGUUGCCCAUGAAUAUUCUGCCCAUUCUGACCUUCUUGACCUCCUUGAGCAAUUACUGGUUGUAUUUCUCCUCAGAGGUUCAAAUUCCUCAUAUCUUGCAAAACAUCCAUUGCUGCAGCAGCUUGUAAUUCCUGAUGCUCUCUUCUCAAUCUCCUUGUGGUUCUUUCAAUUUAUUGAUCAAAUUGGAAUUCAACAAAUUUAAAUUUGCCAUACAAGGGUUGCUAGAUCACCUAUGUCAACAAAAUAAACAAAUUAAAAUAAAAUAAAAAAUUAGCACCAUUAAAACUAAUUUCACAAAUCACAAUAAACAAUCAAUUCCCGGCAACGGCGCCAAAAACUUGUUGGGUAUAAAUUCAAAUGCUAUUGGUGUCAAUGUGCAAGUGUACACAACAAGUAAUAAAGUGAUGAGUAUUCCAGAUUGUCUUCAUAGGGAUUGAUGUUAUCAUAUUUGCUACAGCAACGGUUACAGUAACUACAUUGUUCCAGAUUUGUUUCAAUUCUUUUGUAGCUAAAUUCUUUUCCAUCUUUUACAAGCCUAUUGCAUCAGCAUUCCUUCCUAGAAAUUUGAGCUUUCAGACACCUACAAUUAUGCACACAAUCUAAGCACGAAUUAUUCUAAAUCAAACAAAAUUUAUUAAGAGUAAAUUAAAAUGAAUGUUUAUGCAAAAUAUAACAAAAAUUCAAUAAAAACACAUUAUUUACUCUCUAAGUAAUAUUGAUUUAAGUAUAAAAGUACCAUGAUAACUCUCAUUUCAUAGAGUUAUCAGCUCCUCAGGGUGCGCAACUGUAGUCGGACGAGGAACUCGAGGUCUAGCUCCUAAUCAAAUGUCGGGAAGUUGAUUGGUAGAAUAGAUAUCAUUCAGCGGACGAUCAUCCUCAGGGGCUAAAAGUGUAUCAUCAUUCUUAGACGAGGUAAUCUUCACCCAUUCUCCAUUGCGCCGAUGGAAACCGAUGCCGAGAAUAAUAUCACCUCCCAACCUUUUAGUCUCGUCAUAUACACGCUCAAUAAUAGAAAUCCUAAAAUACCUCAAAAUCCUAGUGAUAAUGCUACCAUAGAGAAGAAGUUUGUUGUUCAUGGCUGGUAUAGACAACAUGUGACGAAGAAUAAUAUAUCCAAGGUUAACUGGACGCCUUCGAAGAAGACAAUCCAGCAAACCAACAUCCAAGCAAGUAACCUCAUCAUUAUACCAUUUCCUAGGAGUAACUAUAUGCUGGAGAAUACUAUGAAGGAUUCUGGGCAACAACUGAGACAGAAAAGGUAGUGAACAAAUAUCGUCGGAAAGAUGUUGACGUCUACAAAUGUUCCUAAUCGCAUAUACAUCAGAAAAAUAAUUAAACUGGAAUUCUUUCCUAGAUGUAUAGAGUUCUAUACCUACAUGAUCAAUCCCUAAAAUGGAAUUCAAAUCCUCUACAAUAAACUCAAUAGGUACGUCUCCAAUAUAUGUUACUAGUCUAUCCAACCUAAUGGCUGAAAGCUCCAUAUUAGAGUAGAAAAUUCUAACUAAGUUUAGAUAUACUUUCUCCUCUAGGUUCAAGGCAAUCUCUCAUUGUGCUAACAUCUCAUUCACAUUACAACUACAUACAACCAACUCUUCAAAAUCAUUUAAAUCAACAAAGAAGAAAUUGGUUAACUUGCGCGUCAUAAACCGCGUUUGGAACCUCCUAGCGAGAGAAUAAGAAGGGAAGUGAACCCUUUCAAAAUCCGGUAUUGGAAGGGGAUGAUGAGGACUCAUGCCAGCCCACUGUUUAACAUGUUUCUUCGGUCUUGAAGGUCCUUCACUAGCCAUGGAUAAACUUGAGAUAUAGAAGAGUGUGCAUGGGCUUAACUUGAUCGAGAAAUGAAGGAAUUUGUAGUCAAUUUGGAAGAAAGAAGUUCGGUUACACUAGGGUUUCAAAAAUUGGGAAUUUUCAAUUUGAGGCUUAAAAACGAAUUGUAAUCGGAUAGAAAUGUUCUAAACUUGGUAAAGAAAGUUUAUAUGGCUUCAAUUUGAAGAGAAAUUACAAAGAAAAUGAGUAAUUUUAGAGAGAGAGAGAGAGAGGGGGGGAGUUUUGGUCGCGGUGAGGAGAGAAAAAAGUUCAAGGCCAAAGAAAAUAAAGAAGAAAAUGGUUCACUGUGCUCUUAUCACGCGAUAACGAUGAGUCGUUAUUAAGAUAUCCGUGAGCUGAUAUCAUUCCAGAAUGUACCUCAAAAGUUUUAUGAAAACAGCGAGCUGUUAGUGAGAAGUCGGCGAAUCGUUAUCUUCAUAAAUAUUUUCCCUAGUUUCUGUCCCAAAAUGGUUAAUCGUUUAUUGAAUAAACGACAAUCCGUUUUCUUUCUCUAAUGAUUUCGCGCAUCUAUUUUUAUUUUUGGUCAACAAUUAAUCCAUUUCAAGAUCAUUUUAUUGAUCCAAAAUGUCUUAAAGACCAAUUUAAUGCAUGAUUCGUGAAUUUACAAAAUUCAAACAACUAAUAAGCAAUCUCAUCACGAACAACAAAAUAGAUUUAAUAUCACAUAAAGCCAAGCUAUUGUGCAACAUUCAACAUUCCAAGCUCAUGUCUAAUUUUAGUAAACUGCUCUUCAUUAAGGGGUUUUGUGAAAAUAUCAGUGAGUUGUUUUUCGGUUGAAACAAAAUUCAAUGAAAUAUCCAUUUUUUGAACAUGAUCUCUCAAAAAAUGCGGUUUAAUCUCUAUAUGCUUGGUUCUUGAGUAUUGGAUAAGAUUCUUUGAAAGAUUUAUGACACUAGUAUUAUCACACAUAAUAGGUAUUUUUUUCAAGGUAAAUAUCAUAGUCUUUAAGUGUUUGUUUUAUCCAUAAGGCUUGAGCACAAUAACUUCUGACUGCAAUAUACUCAACUUCGGUAGUUGAUAGUGCCACCGAAUUUUGUUUCUUGCUAAACCAAGGGACUAGAGAGUGACCUAAAAAGUGAUCAUUAAUGCUUUUCCUAUCAACUUUAUAUCUAGCAAAAUCGGCAUCCGAAUAGCAAGUUAAGACUAUAUGUUUUCCCCUAGGAUACCAAAGGCCAAGAUCUAUAAUUCCACUCAAAUAAUGAAAAAUCCUUUUUAUCGCAAGCAAAUGAGAUUCUUUAGGACAUUUUUGAAAUCUUACACACAAACUUACACUAAACAUAAUAUCAGGUCUACUAGCAGUCAAGUAAAGUAAUGAUCCGAUCAUACCUCGAUAAGUUUUGAUAUCAACUUUCGUGCCUUUUUCAUCCUUGUUGAGCUUGAUUGUUGAGUUCAUUGGAGUACUUUUAAUCUUUCCUUUUUCAAGUCCAAAUCUCUUGAGUAAGUCCCUUAAAUAUUUGGCUUGAUUAAUGAAGAUUCCUUCUUCAGUUUGUUUUAUUUGAAGUCUAAGAAAAUACUUCAAUUCUCCCAUCAUGCUCAUCUCAAAUUUUUUGCUCAUACAAGAUGAAAAAAUCUUACACAAAAACUCGUUAGUAGAACCGAAAAUAAUAUCAUCAAUAUAAAUUUGGACAAUGAGAAUGUAAUAAUUCUUAUGCUUAAUGAAGAGAGUUGUAUCAGUUUUACCCAUUGAAAAACCAUUAUUCAACAAUAAAUUUUUAAGCCUAUCAUACCAUGUUCUAGGUGCUUGUUUUAAACCAUACAAUGCUUUAGUUAAUCUAUAAACAUGAUCUGAAGAUUUCUCAUUCUCAAAAUUAGGGGUUGUUUCAUAUAAACUUCUUCCAUAAUGUAACCAUUUAAAAAUGCACUUUUAACAUUCAUUUGAUAUAAACUAAAAUCUUUAUGACAUGCAAAUCAUUUCACUAAAAGAGAGCAAACACAAUUAUUUUUACGUGGUUCGGCCAAUCGUACCUACGUCCACGUCUCCAAGCUCACCGGGUUUAAGGAUUUUACUAAGCAAGCCUCCAAGGCUUCAACCACUCUCACAAUUGACUUCGAAGUUAUCAAUAAACUUUUACAACAAGAAAUUAUUCUCAAUCUCUUAACCCAAGUGUAUCCCAACACUUACAAUUACUCAAAGAUAAAGAUUACAAAUGAAAUUUUCUUUGACACAUUGUGUUUGAUUACAAAUGAUAGCUCAAAUGUGUGAAUGAAAUGAAAUAAAAUCAAGUUUGAAGCUCAAUAAUAGUUUUAUACUCAAUAGCAAGCUUAAUGAUAAUCGUUAAAUCACUUUUUGUUUGAAUUUGAUUGAGUCAUUUUAUAGAUGGAGCUGAAAACUAGCUGUUGUUGACUUUUUGCACUCAAUCGGAUCACCGUUUUGACUUGAGCAAGUGACCAUUGUGCCAAAAUUCAAAUCGUUGUUAUCAAGAUGUCGGAUUACCGUUAUCGCUCUAGAAUCUUGUCCAAAGAUAUUGAUUAUCCAUUUGAGAUAAACGGUUUACUAUUUGCAAGAUAAUUACUCUCUGGAAUGUUAUCAGUUUACCGUUAUUAAUAAACGGUUUUUCGUUAUCUGAAAUUUACUCUCUGGAAUGCAAUUGAUUCACCGUUAUCCCUAAACGGUUUGUCAUUAUCUUGAAACUUACUCUCUGAAAUGCAAUCGGUUUGCCGUUUUCUAAUAAACGGUUCACUGUUUUCUUAGAAAAUUAUACAUCUUACAGAUUCUAAUUCGAUUAACAAAAUUUUCAGACUUAUCAAUUUCAAAUUUGUUGAUUAUUAUCCAAAUCAUUAUUACGAAUACAAAUAAGUUAACACAAUUAUUUUAAAAAACUACAGUCUUACCAAACUACCCUAAGUGAUAUUUAAUUAAAACAAAAUGUCAAACUAAAAGAAUGAGAAAAAAAUUAAUGUAGCAUACUGUUGAAUUAUUUAUCAAUUAAAAGCACAACAAUAUUGGAAGAGAAAAAAAAAAAAAGCAAAUAAGAGACAUAAUGUGUAAGGAGAAAUUUUAUUCAAUUUCAAGUAUAUACAUAUAAGGAGAUGAGCCCUCCUUUUAUAGUCUCAUAACCAUACAAAUGAAGUAAAUGAUUAGUAAAUGGAUACAUCAUUAGUCAUAAUUUCUUAUGAGAUAGUAGGAGUUAUAGGAGAUGAAAAGUUGUUUGGUGGAGAGAUCAAAAGUUGCUUUAAUGAACAUCCGCAUGAUUAUAAUUAUUUCAUAACACUUCCCCUUCGAUGUUCAUCCUACAAAGAAUAUACCUUAUUAAAACAUUUGCUAGUAAAAACCUUAUAGGAAAAAGAUUAGCGAAGGAAAAAAAUACAUUAUUCAUUUGUAUCUUAAAGAGGUACAAACCACCUCAUUAAAAGCUUACUAAGAACAACCCAAUAAGACAGACGCCUAGAGAAAGAAAAAGAGUGCAAUUUAUGCACUAGUUUUGCAUUGUUUACUUCCCUUAAUAUCGAUGUUUUGCACUUAAUAAUAAUGAUUUACUUGUGUUUUAUUUGUAUAGGUGCAAUUCUGUUGAUCGGUGCUAAAAUUGAGCUACAAGAUGAUGUUUAAGGAUGUUUGUUAAUUACGUAAUUGGCCACUAUUUAAUUAUCAACUUAAUCUAUUGUCAAUUAAAGGAUUCAUCAUAUGAAGAUUUUAAUGUUUGUGACAAAUAACAUAGCAGUGAGUUGUGUUAUGAGAAUAAACAAUCUAAUUUAAAUUAACCAUCGUAUGCGUUUGUUGAUUAGGAUUUGGGUCUCUCUGAUUUUUCAGGCUGUCAAUUGAUUAAAUCCUAUGAUCGUAUCUAGGGUUGUCUAUUGAUUAAGGAAAUAACCAACGGUCGUACCUUGGUUAUCGACUAGUUAAGGAGAGAUUGGCUAUUAGAGGGUCUCAGUAGCUAUAAUCAGUCUAUUCAUAAGUAGUAAUAAUUUAUAUUUGAAUCAAUAAUCAGUAGUCGAAUCAAGCUGAGUUAAUUCCUUCAACCAGAGCUUUCUCCAAUUUGAAUUACAACUUUAAUUUGCAUUCUAGUUAUUUUAAUUUGAUUUAUAUUAUUGUCAACAAUUCCCCCAUUUUACGUGGAAACAUGGAAAAGGCGUGAGUGUUUUGCCACUUGCGGAAUCCAAUCUCGGAGGGUGCCUCGCAUUCGCGACCCAACAAGAGAAAGAAAGGUACAAAGAUAUUUCCAAGCGAAAAAUACUUCCAGUUAAGUAUAUUCAUUACCCGACUCUUGAAAAAUUGAAUGUUAAGGAUAAUUUUGAUUCUUUGAUAGAUAAGAUUGGUUUGCGUAAGUUUGUUGAUGUUGACUGUUUGGGUUAUGUUGAGUUGAUCAGGGAGUUCUAUGCUACUUUUCAAUUUAAUAUACCGAAUGAUUUUACUUUGCAUACCCCGGAUGUCAUAAAGUUUAGGUUAAUGGGACGAAAUUUUUCACACUCUAUAACGGAUUUUAACCUAGCUUUCGGAUUCAUUGAUGAUGAUUAUUCUUCUAGUGAUGCAUAUUUAGGAACAACUUGUGACUUUAGCGAAAAUUUUGAGCCUUAUAGUCUUUGGCGUAAUUUAUCUGUUGAUCACAAUGCCUAUGACCCGAGUAAAUCAAAGAGUUCUUUCUUACGUGAUCCUGUUUUGAAAUUUGUGCAUCGAUUCUUAGCAUAUAAUUUUUUAAGAAAGAAAGAUCACUAAGGAGUUUUCUCUAAAACUGAAUUUUAUUUUAUCUGGUGCAUGUUAAAUAAUGUAAGGCCUAAUUUAGGUUUUUGGUUAGUGGAUCAAUUUCAAAGUGUGCUUAAACGAUAGAGGACUUUAUUUCUUGGUCCAUACAUUACUCUGUUAGCUAUAAACCUAUGUGUGCUUGAUCCUGACAAUAAUGAUUUGCUUCCUGCUUGCAAAAAGGAAUUUUAGGAUAUGUCUGUGUUUGAAAGAACAGGUGUGGUCGAAUUCAAGGAGGGGAGAUUUCAGUUUACUGAACCAGGACCAACUCAACCUCCAAAGAAGCUUUAUGCUAGGAGUGGUGCUACCUCUGAUGACGAGCUUGACGACGACACUGCUGCCCCGCCAAUUAUUCCUUCUACAUCCGCACCACCUUUGAGCAUUCAGUUAGAGAAAAUGGAGCACAAGCUGAACAAGAUGGAGCAGAAUUUGGCCGCAUACUUCGAGAGUGUGGGAUUUAUCCCACCAUUUCCGUCAAGUCCAUAGACGUUAUGUGGAUCAAAGCUCACAAUUCAGGGAAGUUUUUGCCUUUAAUCUUUUAUCCUUACGCUUUAAUUUUUAUGUGAGCUUUGAUUAUCUUACAUUGGGGACAAUGUAAGGUCUUGGUGUGGGGGAGGAAUUUUUGCAUUAUUGAUGUCUGGAAGUAUUAUUUCACUCUACUCAUCCUUAAAUGAUUUUGGAGUUAGUAUGCUUUAUAUAUUAUUAUUUUUCUUUUCUUUUCUUUUCUUUCUCACUACUCUUUUCCCAUCUAUCUCAAAUUAUUUACAUCAAUUUUUUCUAUCAUACUUUUUCAUCACUCACAUUUUAUCUUUCAUUUUUUUUACUACAUACAUCUUUCUCGCUUAUUAUCAUUUUUACCUUUCCUUUUAUAUAUCACUCCUACCUUCUUCUCAUUCCAAACCACUAUUGAUGGUUGAUUCAUUUGAAGAGUGUACAUGAUUUGAUGGUAAAUUUACCAACUUUGUGAGGAUUUGAGCCUAUGAGCAACCACUUUGCUCUAAUAUUUUUGUUAUGUGAAUAUCAAUCUUAGUUUGUUUAUUCUAAAACUUGCUUUGUUAUGCAUGUUGAAGCCGCAUUACGGGAUUUUAUGCAUUAAAAUGAUAAGGGCAAACCAUUUACCAUUUUUCUAUUCUCGCAUUUUUUUUUUCUCUACCCGAAGACCUUUAUUUGCUAUCUUUGUUUGAGCCUUAACCAUUACCCAUCUCAUUCUCUCCGUCUACUUAACCAUGUUUCUUCUUUUUUUGGCCUCAAUUUAAGGAGAUUUUUGGACUCAUUGUGUGGAUAUAUUUAUAUAUAUUUUGUUGCUUUUUCUACCUUGUAUUAAAGUUUCUCAAUUAGAUCAACAAGCAUUAUGCUUGAAUUAAAUUGUGCAAGGUUCGUUUCUUUUGUUUGAUAAAAAAAAAACAAAAAAAAAAGGAAAAAGAAAAAAAAGAAAAAGAAAAAGAAAAAAAAGAGAAAAAAAAUGUUUACAUUCUUAGCACCGUGAGUAGAAAUAAGCAUUUUGAUAUCAUAAGUUCAUUCAAUGAGUUCAUUCUUCUCAUUUUGAUCUCUUUUUCGUUCGUAGAGCUUUCUUUUUCAUUUAACAUAUUUAACCCCAUUACAACCCUUUUAAGACCCUUAGAUUUUUGCAUUUUAUUCAUGUUUUGUGGAUUGAGAUGUGAUAUAUGAGCAAGCUUAUGGUAAUAGCAUUCUUUGAUUUGAUUUGAGUGCAUAAAUGACACCCUAAACACUUUGAGUGCAUAGAGUGAAGUCAAUGAGAGGGCUAUUAAAUCUUGUUGCACUUGAAUUUUGAAUGGUUCUUGGUGGUUGAAUGUUCUUAUUCUAUCUUAUGAGAUUCUAUGCUUUAAAAUCCUUGUCUCUCGAAUGUGGAUCGACUUAAUUUCUUGAGGUAUGCUUGCUUAAAAUUGUUUUUGGAUGAGUUGAGAUGAGAAUUUAGUGGAGAUUUGAGAUUAGUCUUGAGUUAUAUGCUUGAGGACAAGCAUCAUCUUGGUGUGGGGGAAUUUGUUAGAGUGCAAUUUAUGCACUAGUUUUGCAUUGUUUACUUCCUUUAAUAUCGAUGUUUUGCACUUAAUAAUGAUGAUUUACUUGUGUUUUACUUUUGUAGGUGCAAUUCUAUUGAUUUGUGAUAAAAUUGAGUUAUAAGAUGAUGUUUAAAGAUGAUUGUUCUCUUGGAGAAAUUAUGAGCGCCAGAAGAACUUUGUUGAUAAGGCGUGGACGUGUGCUGUCAACUACAGACCUGCAGUUUUUAGUUUAACGUGUUUUGUAUUUUUGGUUAUUUUUGUAAUUAUGAAUUUAAUAUUUCAGAUAUUAGUAUUUUAUUUUAAAUAAAACUCUGGAGGAGAAGAGAGGGAGAGUAUUUAAGGGAGGAAUCUAUUGUGAAAAAGGGGGAUUGGAAAAGAAAGAAACCCUAGAUCUAAAUUUUUCUCUUCUCUCUAUGAGGAACUAAACCUAUUAUUCUGGUUGAAGGUUAAUGAAGCUUUGAUUCAUCACUACUGUCAGAUCUUUCUUAUGCUUUAAUUGUUUUAUUACUUUUUGGGUAUUUGUUUAUUCUCUAAAUUAUUUUCAUGAUUAUGUUUGUUAAUUACGUAAUUGGCCACUAUUUAAUUAUCAACUUAAUCUAUUGUCAAUUAAAGGAUUCAUCAUAUGAAGAUUUUAAUGUUUGUGACAAAUAACAUAGCAGUGAGUUGUGUUAUGAGAAUAAACAAUCUAAUUUAAAUUAACCAUCGUAUGCGUUUGUUGAUUAUGAUUUGGGUCUCUCUGGUUUUUCAGGCUGUCAAUUGAUUAAAUCCUAUGAUCGUAUCUAGGGUUGUCUAUUGAUUAGGGAAAUAACCAACGGUCGUACCUUGGUUAUCUACUAGUUAAGGAGAGAUUGGCUAUUAGAGGGUCUCAGUAGCUAUAACCGGUCUAUUCAUAAGUAGUAAUAAUUUAUAUUUGAAUCAAUAAUCAGUAGUCGAAUCAAGCUGAGCUAAUUCCUUCAACCAGAUCUUUCUCCAAUUUGAAUUACAACUUUAAUUUGCAUUCUAGUUAUUUUAAUUUGAUUUCUAUUAUUGUCAACAAUUCCCCCAUUUUACGUUUUACAUUUUAAAAGGAUUUAAAUAAUUACCGAUCUCUGUGGACACGACCCUGCUCAAUCACUAUACACAAUUAAUUUAGAGUGGGUAUUUAUUUUUGCUGGCUUCGACAACCAUCAAAUUGUAAUUUUAUUAACAAUAUAUGGACAAAAUAGAUAAUUAACAAUUAUUUUUUAUAUACUAGAAGGGUACAACGGUAAUUAUAUAUUAAACGUACUAUUUUCAUUAAAAAUAAUUAUUUUUGUUAGUGAAUGGGGGUGUAAAUGUCUUUUUUAAAACGUUAAGGGAGUUUUUGUCUCUUUAUCUAAACGUUGAGGGUUUGUUUGUCCUUUUUCCAAAAAUUUAUAACUAUUGCUAUAUAGGAUUGUUUUAACCAAUUGUUAGAAUUCUCAACAUAGAGAAUUAUCAUACUCCUCCAUAAAGAGUAUAUUACUUAAAAUCAAUCAUUGUUGAGUACUGAAGAAUGUAUGUUUAUACAUGAUAAAAUUGUCAUUUUAUUCUCCAAGUCCACUAACAUUUUCAAUUUUACAUGUUUAAAUUCUCUAAGCUUUCAUUAUGUGUGUUUUAUUAUAAUUUAAAUAUUUUAUGUAUUUUAGGGAUAUUUUGGCUAUUUCACAACUAAUAAGAAGUCGGACGACAAAAUGAAUGUCAUUUUUGAACUGGAAAUGUUCGAAAACCUUAAGAGAAGCAUAAAAAGGUAUGUGACAUUGUUCACGUUUACGGUAAUGUUCACAUAUACGGUACUAUUCAUCGGUACGACACUAUUCACAUAUAUAAUACAAUGACGUGGCAUUGACCGAUGAUGUGACAAUAUUCUAUUGGACCAAUAAUGUGGCAUUUACUGAUUAUGUGGCGUUGACUAGUUAUGCGACGUUGACCGAUGAUGUUUCAGGAUGGUAUUGGACCAAAAUACUGAUGUGGCAUUAACCGUGACGUGGCAGUAUUUUAUUAGACCAAAAUGUUAAUGUAGUGUUAACGGAUGAUGUGUUCCAACCAAUCAAAGUUUGGCGCGUAGCGCAAUAUUGAGCGUCCAAAUUGUUUUCAUCUAAUGACCAUGAUUUAUCCAUUGUAUCUAUAAAUAGAGGGCUUCUCCCCAACUUUGACACCCCUGAAUCCAUUUUUGAGCUCUAUUUUUUGUAAUUCUCUCUCCACCUUAUAUUUUCUACGUAUUUUAAUAAAAUUAUCAUCUUAUCCAUAGUUCAAUUAUGAGUAGCUACUUUAGUUUAAAGCUUGGGUUGAAGGUAAAGUCUCAACAUAAUCCAUGGGUUUAAUUAAGUAAGUUUAUUUUGUUUUCUUAUCUGAUUUAUGUGGUUGUUUUGACUCAUUGUCGAUAGACAAUACUGAGCGUCCGAAUUAUCAUCUCUAUCUUGUUUUCCUAAACCCUAUAUUUUCUGUAAUUAUCUCUCCACCUUAUAUUUUCUACGUAUUUUAAUAAAUUAUCAUCUUACCCAUAAUUCAAUUAUGAGUGGCUACUUUAGUUUCAAGAUUGGGUUGAAGGUAAAGGCUCAACAUGAUCCAUGGGCUUAAUUAGGUAAGUUUACUUUGUUUUCGUAUUUGAUUUAUGUGGUUGUUUUGACUCAUUGUCGACAGACAGUGUGUCUUGUCUCGAUUUUGCACGAUAUACCAACUCCUUAAUAAAUGAUCAUUACCGUCUAGUAUAAUGAGCACUUAACACCAUAUUAAUUAGAGAGAUAAUUCCCCUCUAGUAUUUUGUGGGUUGUCUUAACUCAGUGUCGAUAAAGAGUGUAUCUAAACUAUUUAGUGGAUGAUCUUGUCAUGUUGUCGAUAGAAGGAUUAUUAUCGUUUGACACAACGUGUUCUUUACACCAUACUUAGUGUAAGAUCAUUACUUUUAGUACACUGAACUCUUGAUACUAUUAGAGUGAGGAUUAUGAGGAGUGGAAAUGUCCCCUCAUGAAUUAAUUGGAACUAAAAAAUAAAUAUUAAGCUCAUGGUGAAUGGUGAAUGGUGAAUGUGAAUCUAGAGACUUAAGCGUUUUCAUUUGCAUUGAUUUCAUCUUUAAUUUAUUCUCACCUUUUUAUUUUGAAUCCUAAGAUAAAAAAAAAAAAAAAAUUCACUUCUAACCAACUCACAUUUACACCUCAAAAAUUAACCAUACAAAUAAUUAAAUCAACCUUCUUGUGUGAUCGAUACUCAUCACUAUAAAAUCUAUUCUACAAUAGAUUCAUACGUUUGCGAGUAUAAUAAAAUUUGCACAAUAAUUAUCAAUUUCACGAAUUUUACAUCGGCACUCGUCGAAAUAUCCCACUAAAAUUUAUGGUGCAACUAUCAUGUUGGCUUUUUUAAAAGUUCAUCAGCCAUCGACAUAAAUUCCACCACACACCUUACAUUAACGCCAACCAUGCCUUGUGUGCAAAUUUUGUGGCCCUCGCUAAUAGUAACAUGUUUUCUUUUAUAAUAGCAUGGAGAUCUACAUGCCAAAGAACUAACCCAGUCUUUUUAAAAAGAAGCUGACCAUUUGUUAGAAUAUUAAUAUCUCCUUUUUUUAUUUUGGAGCAAUUUGCCAAGCCCACUCCACCUUCUUGAUAAUUUCCCUAAGGUGCCAAAAUUAUCCACACCUUCAAAUCCUUAUGCAUACCAAAUUGGAUACACAUUUGACUUGAAUUCUUCAAAAGCCAAAAAAUCAACAACAUCAAACCCCAUCGAGUUUGAAAAAUACCAUGUUCUGACAUAUAUGAUUCACUUAUUAGUCUUUGUUAUUCACCACAGACUAUUUGGAUUGACUCUCAUUGCUUCACGUGAAUAGUACCGUAUACGUGAACAAUAUUCCGACACCAAAACUUCAACCAAUGACUCUAAUACCACUGCUAGGAAAUUGAGAUUUCUCCCCUCAUCACUCUAAGUAAUGUCGAGUAACAAAUUAAUAGAAAAAUUAAAUGAAGAAUACAUCAAUCACACAACAUAAAAUUUACAUAAAAAAACUCCAAAUUCAGAAAAAAAAAAAUCAUGGUCAUUGUCAAACAACAAUAAAAAAAAUAUUCACUGUGUGAUAAAUUAUUACAACCAUAUUCUCAUAAAUAAUUUUCUUUCAUCCAAUCCCUAAAUAUAUGAUCCUAACAAAUAUUCUUUAAUAAAAUAAAUUCAUAAUACUCAUAUUAAAGAGUCAAAUACUCCUAUAAUAUAACUAUAUACUUAAAAAUAUUUCUCUUUAUUUUAAAAGACCAAAUACUUCUCUCACUUCUCAAAUUUUAGGAUUGAAUCAAACUGUAAAUGAGAGCUUCAAUUUAUAAGUAAAAAUUUGCCUAAAAUCAAGCCAAGUGGGUAAGAUGUUUUCAAACAUUUCAGCCACCUUUUAACAAUCAAAGGAGGCAGCUUCUCGAAGUCAAGACAUGCGGCUCCCAGUCAAUUUUUUUGGCCAAAGAAAUCGGUGGCUGCCUUGACUUUUUUUUUUUAAUCAAACUUUCAACAGAUCAACGCGCUAAGGAGAUUGAAAGUAAAGAGAUUGAGUUAGUUCUGGUGGAAAAAAAGAUUGAAGAUUGUAAUGGUGAGCUGGCGUGUAGAAAAAAUAAUGGGUUUGGGUCAAAAGAGGAUUGGAGAAUUUAAUUGUGAGCUUGAAUUGAAGGAGAAUGAACUGAAUUCGUUGUCGGUGAGUCUUAAUUUAAAGAAUAAACCGAGCUCGGUUCAAGAAUGGAUUAAUAAAUGUCAGGCGUAUCAGAAGGAGUUGCGAUUGUGGAAGAAUUUGAUUGAAGAAUGUUAUGAUGAAGUUGAGUUGAGAGAAAAGAAAGUUGGGGAAGCUCAAAGAUCAAUUGAGGAACAGGAGAAACAGCUAGCAUUUAAGGAGAGCAAAAUUUCUUCGAUGCAGACAUUGAUUGAAGAAAAUGAAGGACUACUUAAAGAUAAGGAGAAGUUGUAUGACGAGGUUAAAAAUUCUCUCAUGCUGUGUGAGACAAAGCUCGAUUGUGAAAAGAAAGAAUUGGAGCUGACUCAAUCGUCUAUUAAAGAGCUCUCGAUGGAGUUUCAUUCAGAAGAGGAGAAAUUAGAGUUACUCCAGGGGAAAGUCAGACUGCACGAAAAUGAAGUUGAAUCUUUAGAGCAGAAGCUUGACUCAAUGAGAAAGCAACAGAAGAAAUAUUUUGAUGAUGUUGAAUUGAAAAAGAGGGAGCUCAACGAAAUAAGAAAAUACAUUGAAGAACUCAAUCAAGAUCCCGCAUCAAAGGAUAAGGAGUUAAGAUUUGUCCAACAAUCUAUUGAAGAAUGCAGCAAGGAGAUCCCGGGGAAAAAGGAGGAGUUCAUUUCAAAAGGAAAAACAAUUGCGGAAUGCUCAAAGGAGGUUGAAUUAAAAAAGAACCAACUUAAUUUGAUAAAGGACAAGUCAAGUUUGUUCCAGACAAGGACGAUUGUGUACCUGAAAGAGCUUAAAGAGAAGGAGACGCAUUUUGAUUCACUCAAAAAAGGUUUAGAAGACCGCUUGCAAGAUCUUGAAUUAAAAGAGAGAGAAUUUGAGAAACGAGUAAAGGAGUUUGAGUUAAGAGAGAAAGAGUUGGAUUCUAUCCGAAAAGCAGUGGAAGAUCGCAGUAAAAAUCUGUUGCUGCAAGUAAAAAUUAAGGACCCUGAAAAUUUGACAAGCAGCGGAAGAUAUCUGCAGUUCCUACUGAAUCAGCAUUUGCAGAAGCAUGAUUCCAUUUUUUGUAAAGUUUUCGACACUAUUAAAAGCGCCCGUGACCCUGCAUUGUUGGUGUUACAUGCCAUGUCAGGAUUUUACCCUCCUCAUUCAAGGGAGGGAGAUUUGGAGUUUGAUGUGAGCAUUGUUAGGAGGAGUUGUAUUCUUUUGUUGGAACAGUUAUCAACUGUAGAACCAGAGAUUAAUGCUCAAGUACGAGAUGAGGCUAUGAAGGUGGCAGGUGAGUGGAAGAAGAAGAUGAGAGUAGCAGUGGAAAAUUCUCUGGAGGUGCUGGGAUUCUUGCAUCUUUUAGCUGCCUAUAGAUUGGCACCUGCUUUUGAUCGUGAAGAACUUGAAAGUCUUCUUUGUAUCGUUGCUCAGCACAGACAGACUCCUAAAUUAUGCCGAACCCUUGGAUUUGCGGAUAAAGUACCUGGUAGGCUCUUUGUUACUGGGAUUUAAAUUUAUCAGGUGCUAUCUGUGCUCUCAAUUGCAUAAUAAAACUGAUUUUAUAUGUUAUGAGUCCUAUUUGCAUUUUGUUGGAUAUGUUAUAUAUUACUAUAGUUGAUUUCGGUAUAAAUCAUUUAUAAGAACUUGUGGAUGCAAUUCCAUUUUGCUGCUAUGCCCUCUAGUAAGUUUUUCUGAUUUUGAAGUUCGUAAAUUCUGCAUACUUUCUAAAGUCUUUACUAGGCUAUCGGGUUUCUAUAUUUUGAAUUAGAAAGGUUGAGUAAUCAGAACAAUUUUUCAUUCAACCAUGCACUUGAUUCUUUGUCUGCAGGUCUCCAGUGCAGUACCACAGCAGAAGGAAGGAGUGCACCGUCAAUGCUUGUUGGCACCUCUGCCCCCUUGAAUCAGUCAGUCUCUAGCCCAAUGAAUCUACCACAGUGCAGCGGAAUGGAUCCC
rnacentral:lncRNA from 1 species